UACGUAGGAGGCGAGCGUUGUUCGGAUUCAUUGGGCGUAAAGGGUGCGUAGGCGGCGCGGUAAGUCGGGUGUGAAAUCUCGGAGCUUAACUCCGAAACUGCAUUCGAUACUGCCGUGCUUGAGGACUGGAGAGGAGACUGGAAUUUACGGUGUAGCGGUGAAAUGCGUAGAUAUCGUAAGGAAGACCAGUGGCGAAGGCGGGUCUCUGGACAGUUCCUGACGCUGAGGCACGAAGGCCAGGGGAGCAAACGGG
rnacentral:rRNA from 1 species